CUGCGGCUGCUACCUGCAGUCGAACGUGAUCCGCCCUUCGGGGUGGUGAAAGUGGCGCACGGGUGAGUAACGCGUGGAUUAUCUGCCCGAGGAUUUGGGAUAACCUCUCGAAAGGGGUGCUAAUACCCAAUAAGCCCACGGGGUCUACGGAUCUUGCGGGAAAAGGGGGGGACCUUCGGGCCUCCUGUCCUUGGAUGAGUCUGCGUACCAUUAGCUAGUUGGUGGGGUAAUGGCCUACCCAGGCGACGAUGGUUACCUGGUCUGAGAGGAUGAUCAACCACACUGGAACUGAGACUCGGUCCAGACUCCUACGGGAGGCAACAGUGGGGAAUUUUGCGCAAUGGGGGAAACCCUGACGCAGCAACGCCGCGUGGGUGAUGAAGGCCUUCGGGUCUUAUAGCUCUGUCUGGAGGGAACAAAUGAUUGGGACCUAAUACCUCUUGAUCUUGACGGUACCUCUGAACGAAGCACCGGCUAACUCCCUGCCAUCAUCCGCGGUAAUACGGACGGUGCAAGCGUUGUUCGUAAUUAUUGGGCGUGCAACGCGUGUACUCGGUCUUUUACGUAUGAUGUGAAUCUUCCGUGCUCAACCUGAGAAGUGCAUUGCAAACUGGGAGGCUUGAGCCGGGAGAGGAGAGUGGAAUUCCUGGUGUAGGAGUGAUUCUGGUAGAUAUUCUGACGCAGACCGGUGGCGAUAGCGGCUCUCUGGAGCGAUACUGACGCUGAGACCCUAGCGCGAGAGUAUCAGACCUAAGUAUAUACGCUGUUAGUCCCCGCCGUACCGAUGUGUACUAGUGUUGCCGCGUAUUGACCCCUGCGU
rnacentral:rRNA from 1 species